rnacentral:tRNA from 1 species
GGCGGGCGCGGGGCCCGGGCCUUGGCCUGGGCGAUCGCGACGCCCGCGAAGAUGACGAGGGCGCCGACCGGCUCGUUCCACGACAGGUGCUCGCCG